UCAGGAAAGUNUGGAGUAAAAGGCUAUGGCUCANCCAUAGUGUGCUCUGGAAACUGUCUGACUUGAGUGCAGAAGGGGAGAGUGGAAUUCCAUGUGUAGCGGUGAAAUGCGUAGAUAUAUGGAGGAACACCAGUGGCGAAAGCGGCUCUCUGGUCUGUCACUGACGCUGAGGCUCGAAAGCGUGGGUAGCGAACAGGAUUAGAUACCCUGGUAGUCCACGCCGUAAACGAUGAGUGCUAGGUGUUAGGCCCUUUCCGGGGCUUAGUGCCGGAGCUAACGCAAUAAGCACUCCGCCUGGGGAGUACGACCGCAAGGUUGAAACUCAAAGGAAUCGACGGGGGCCCGCACAAGCGGUGGAGCAUGUGGUUUAAUUCGAAGCAACGCGAAGAACCUUACCAGGUCUUGACAUCCCGAUGCUAUUCUUAGAGAUAGGAAGUUACUUCGGUACAUCGGAGACAGGUGGUGCAUGGUUGUCGUCAGCUCGUGUCGUGAGAUGUUGGGUCAAGUCCCGCAACGAGCGCAACCCUUAUUGUUAGUUGCCAUCAUUAAGUUGGGCACUCUAGCGAGACUGCCGGUAAUAAACCGGAGGAAGGUGGGGAUGACGUCAAGUCAUCAUGCCCCUUAUGACCUGGGCUACACACGUGCUACAAUGGUCGGUACAACGAGUUGCGAGCCGGUGACGGCAAGCUAAUCUCUGAAAGCCGAUCUCAGUUCGGAUUGGAGGCUGCAACUCGCCUCCAUGAAGUUGGAAUCGCUAGUAAUCGCGGAUCAGCACGCCGCGGUGAAUACGUUCCCGGGCCUUGUACACACCGCCCGUCACACCACGAGAGUUUGUAACACCCGAAGUCGGUGAGGUAACCUUUUAGGGGCCAGCC
rnacentral:rRNA from 1 species